UGAAUGACCCUUGUAAAAACACUGUGAAAUGCAAAUUUAAUUUGCUAAAUGAUUCGCCCAGGCAGACAGAUCUGGGAAACUUGUUUUGCUUAAUGAGAAUUUUGUCUACCACUUGCCCACUUGUUUGCCCGUGUUGGACAGUGACGGUCCCCCGAUGUGCAAUGGCCACGACUGUCCCACAAGGUGUCGGGUGCAACUGGCCUGGAGCUUAUUCGCAUAUGCGAGU